rnacentral:rRNA from 1 species
AUCAAGUGUCUAAAGGGCAUUUGGUGGAUGCCUUGGC